rnacentral:rRNA from 1 species
UUUUAAAUUGCUGUAGUAUUUUGACUAUACAAAGGUAUUGUAAUAAGACUUUAAUUGAGUGCUAAAAGAAUGGAAUUACAAAAAAAGGCUUUUUUAAUUUUAAAAAUUAAAAUUAUUUUUUUUUGUGAAGAAACAAAAAUUUAAAUUAAAGACAAGAAGACCCUAAGAAUUUUUUUUUUUAUUAAAAUAAUAUUUUAUUUUAAAAAUUUAAUUGGGGCGAUUAAUUAAUAUUAAAAACUUUAUUAACAAAAAAAAAUGAUCCAUUAUUAAUGAUUAUUUGAUUAAAAUACUCUAGGGAUAACAGCGUAAUAAUUUUUGAUAGUUCUUAUAGAAAAAAUAGUUUGCGACCUCGAUGUUGGAUUAGGAUUCUUUUUU